ensembl:lncRNA
GACUGACAGACACAGGGACAGACAGACUGACAGACACAGGGCCAGACAGACAAACAGACACAGACCGACAGACUGACAGACACCCACACCCUUGUAUCAACACACUGGCCUUUCAGCAGAGUGCUACUACCCUGCAGGCAUGGAGAGCCCGGCAACGCACACACUGUACACACACACACACACACACACACACACGCACACACACGCACACACACACGUAUCCAUACACCAGCCUUUCAACAGGAUGCCAACGGCCUCAGGGCUAUGCAGAUUGACAUACAGUAGACUCACACCCCACUGGUCCAUGGGGGCAUGGUGACAUCAUCACUCUGCCUGGUCACCAGGGUAACGUCCAGUUUCACCAUCUACAGUUCACUGAGAGAUGGUUGAGUCAAGUUGUGCUGGUAAAGGCUGUCCCUUAUAAAGUGUUAGCCCCCCAACACAAACACACACAUUAGUUAGUAGGGCUAGUUGGUUAGUAGUGUCCCUUGGUUGGCAUGUUAGCCCUGGCAAGAUCCCUUCUAUGAGCCUUGGUUGGCGCUGCAUUGGCACUGCAUUGGCACUGCGUUGGCACUGCGUUGGCACUGAGCCCUAAUGUAGGGAAUUAAAAAGCACUAGACUUUGUCCUUUGUGCCACAGCGCGACUGCUUUAAUCUCCCCACGCCUCAACGGGCACCCAUAGCGCUCACACACACUCACACACACUCACACUCACACACACACAAAGCUCCAGGAGUGGGCACAGUGCCCACAUGACCCUGGGCAAUAUGGAAAUGGCCACCAAAAGCCCAAAGUAAGUGCCCAGACUGCCUCCACAAUGAGAACCCACCAACCCCCCACCGUAGCACAUAGACACACACUCAAUACACCACACACACACACACAGACACACACUCAAUACACCACACACGCUCACACAUACACAUCCCGCACACACACACACACACACACACAUAGACACACACUCAAUACACCACACACGCUCACACACACACAUACCCGCACAAAAACACACACACAUAGACACACACCGAACACACCACACACGCUCACACACAUACAUAGACACACACUCAAUACACCACACACGCUCACACACACACAUCCCGCACACACAUACCCGCACACACACACACACACACGCACACACACACAUAGACACACACUCAAUACACCACACACGCUCACACACACACAUCCCGCAUACACAUUCCCACACACACACACACACACACACACACACACAGACACACACUCAACACACCACACACACUCACACACACAUCCCGCACACACAUACCCACACACACACACACACACACAUAGACACACACUCAAUACACCACACACACUCACACACACACACAUCCCGCACACACAUACCCGCACACACACACACACACACACACACACACACACAGACACACACUCAAUACACCAAACACUCACAAACACCCGUACACACAAACCCAUAGACACACAUACCACACUACACAGUUCACACCAUGCAGAUGCUCAGACAUGAUUAAAUGUGUGCAGAGACAGACAGACAGACAUGUACAGACAGACAUGUACAGACAGACAUGUACAGACAGACAGACAGACAUGUACAGACAGACAUACGUACAGACAGACAUGUACAGACAGACAGACACAAACACACACACACACACACACACAAACGCCUGCAUUCUUUUCAUUGUCAAACACAGCCAGCAGAAACACUCACAGACACACAUAUACACACUCACUCACACACAAACACACAGAGACACACACACACAGUCACACAGUCACACAGAUACAAACUCACACACAGACACACACACACACACACACACACACUGUCACACAGACACAGAGACACACACACACACACACUGACACACAUGCACACAUGCACACAUGCACACACACACACACACACUGGCCAGACGUUUCAGACAUUUCUUUUUGAAGUUAAGGUGUAACAGCGGCAUUGUUGUCAAGGCCAACUUAUGACGUCAUCCCCCACCUCUAAUGGAACUAGCAGAGCCUGACUUUGUCGCUGUUGGUGUGUGUGUGUGUGUUUGUUUGGUUGUGCAGAUACACUAGCGCCAUGCGCUAACCCUAAGGAGAAGAAAUUGAUUGAUUUUAAUUACAAAAGUUGUGCAGGGGUGCACACACACACACACACACACACACAAUAAUGGCUCAGAGUACUGGCACCCUUUCAAUUCAUUAAAAUACUCAUAUUGGUAUAUACUUAGAAAUAAGUUGAAAUUGACCACUAGACUCACUAUUUGUUGGCACAGCCUUUGGUCAAGAUAACUUUCCCUGGAUUAGCUUCCUUCACCUCUGUAAUGGCAGGGUUGGCCCAGUCUCCCUGUUCAAACUGAUCCAGUUCUCCCAGAUUUGAAUCCUCCCAGCUCCUGCUUUCAGAUCUCUCCACGGGUUGUCAAUAGGAUUUACAUCUGGACUCACUGCCACUUCAGAAAAGUCUAGCGUUUUGUCUCGAGCCAUUCCUGGACGCCGAGAUAUUCUCCUGAUUUAAUGAUGCCAUGCACUCGUUCAAGGCACCCGAUGCCAGAGGCAGCACACCCUUAAACACCACUGAAACUCCUCCUAGUUUGACUAUGGGGAAGUUCUUCUUUCAGGCUUCAUUUUGUUUUCUGUAAACAUAGAGAUGGUGUGGUUUACCAAAAAGCUCUAAUUUGGUCCCAUCUGUCCACAGGAGAUUUUCUCAGAAGGAUUGCAGCGUGUUCAGGUGUGUUUUGACAAAUUGCAUUCAGGCUUUCUCAUGUCUCUGAGUAGUUGGUUUCCUACCACACAACUAGCGCUCGUUUAGUUUGCGAUGUAUGGUGUUAAUUGAAACAGUCGUACUGUGUGUGUCUGAAAAUCAGCUUGAAUGUGUUUGGUAGUUGAUUGAGGUGCUACUGCGUCUAUACCAUUCAAACCAAAUCCUUCACCGCAAUCUUCCAUCAAGUCGUCUCCUGUGGCCACAUCCAGGGAGGGUUGGCAGCAGUGGCAUGAGUCUUGACAUUAUGUAUGGAAGAAACGCGAACACCAAGUUCUCUGGGGAGAGACAUGUAGCCUGGAGAUUGUCCGUGCUUGGGUGUCUCAUCUCCUGAGACAAUUCUCUGGUUUUCUUUCUUAUCUCUGGGCUCAUUCCUUAACAUGUUAAAUGCAAUGUCACAAAACACAGCUCAAAGGAAUUAAGGGAACAUGUAAUCAUCACUAUAUAGGACCAAGUGAAUUGAACUACAUGGAUAUCAAUCUGUCCAGUUAGGAAGCGUAAGUGAUUGUGAAUCAAUGUCCUGUUUUGGUGCAAUUGAAAGUGACAAAAGGUGCACUGGAAAGGCACCAGCAAGAAAACCCCCAAAAAGGGAAUGGUUUUGCAGGUGCUGGCAGCAGAAAAUUGCUCUCUCCUUAUCCUUCCUGACUGAUUCUUCCCUGGGUUCUUCCUGGUGCAGGACAAUGCCUGGCCUCAUGUGGUCAGAGUGUGAAGACAGUUCCUGGAUGACGAAGGCAUUGAUGCCAUUGACUGGCCGUUAUGUAUCAGUGAUUCUGACAUUGCCAUAUAGCGCCAUAGACUGUCCAGGAGCUCACUGAUGCCCUGAUACAGGUUUGGGAGGAGAUCCCCCAGGACACAAUCUGCCGUCUCAUCAGGAGCAUGCCCAGACAUUGUUGGGAGUGCAUGCAAAUAUGUGGGGACCACAC